rnacentral:rRNA from 1 species
UACAGAGGGUGCGAGCGUUAAUCGGAAUUACUGGGCGUAAAGCGUGCGUAGACGGUUAUUUAAGUCGGGUGUGAAAGCCCCGGGCUCAACCUGGGAAUUGCAUUUGUGACUGCAUGGCUAGAGUGCGGCAGAGGGGGAUGGAAUUCCGCGUGUAGCAGUGAAAUGCGUAGAUAUGCGGAGGAACACCGAUGGCGAAGGCAAUCCCCUGGGCCUGCACUGACGCUCAUGCACGAAAGCGUGGGGAGCAAACAGG